UACGUAGGGUGCGAGCGUUAAUCGGAAUUAUGGGCGUAAAGCGUGCGCAGGCGGUUAUAUAAGACAGUUGCGAAAUCCCCGGGCUUAACCUGGGAAUGGCGCUUGUGACUGCACGACUGGAGUGCGGCAGAGGGGGAUGGAAUUCCGCGUGUAGCAGUGAAAUGCGUAGAUAUGCGGAGGAACACCGAUGGCGAAGGCAGUCCCNCUGGGCCUGCACUGACGCUCAUNNGCACGAAAGCGUGGGGAGCAAACAGGAUUAGAUACCCUGGUAGU
rnacentral:rRNA from 1 species